rnacentral:tRNA from 1 species
UCUAAUAUGGCAGAUUAGUGCAGUGAAUUUAAGCUUCACAUAUAAAGAUAAAUUCUUUUAUUAGAA